GCUCGCGUAGCUCAGUGGUAGAGCAUUGUACUUAUGCGGUUAACAUACCUCUUGGCAGUAUGCAAGGGUCUCCAGUUCAAUCCUGGGCGUGAGCA